UUAACUCAAAUUUGUAUGGAGUUGGAACUUUUGCCUAUGUUUGCCGCUAGGGGCGCUGUUCCAACUCUAUACAAAUUUGAGUUA
rnacentral:pre_miRNA from 1 species